rnacentral:misc_RNA from 1 species
UUCCAGGAGCUGGGACCAGCUGCAAACAACCAGAGAGUAGAAUGAGAAACAUUUCUGGCUUUAGCUUAUAUUUCCUAUACUAUUACUCUAUCCGGCAAACAUAAAAAUGCCGUUACAGAUGGAAGCUCUUGUGACUCAUAAUUUGACAACCAAUGCAUUCUUCAAACAUUGGGAAUACAGUAUUGAGCAAAGGCAGCAUGCCAAAGGUGCAAGUAAUAUUGCAGACACUCAAUAAUGAAAAGAACAGGGUCAAUUUUUAUUGGAUUGGGGAUUUGCAUGCACUGCACCAUCAUUUUGGGAUUCAGAUAUAAAACAUUUCUAGAAAUAAUUCAUAGUUACUUGCAUAUGUGUAAAUAUCCUUCACUAAGCACCUUCUAUGGUUGUUUAGUUGCCAAAGUGAAGUGAACUAGUGAUCCCUAUUCAUGAAUAUGGAUGUACUUUUUUUUCCCCAAACAAAAGUCUAUCCAAAUGGAACUUGGCAUCCAAUGAGACGAUCAUAGGAAAAGUGUAUAUACAAUUCAUGGUGCCGCCACUCUCCCCUUUGAAUUUAUUAGAAUGAGAAUAUCAAUGAAAGUAGCUCAACAUCAAAAUAAGAAUUGGAAGAAGACGACAUCAUAUGGACCCCUCCAAUAAAGAACAUGCAACUAUGUUGACAUUUGCCAAGUCCUUUUACUUUUUUUCUUGUCCUUCGAGCCAAAUGUCCACCAUUUCAACUCAAUAAUUUGUACUUAAUACAAAAGCAAGAGAAUAAAAUUGGCGAGCUAGUGAACAAAUAUCACAGGCCGACAUUAAUCAUUUAGUUCCCACUAGCACAGUAACACUGUUUUUCAGAUGAAGUUCAUAGAAAAAAUGAUCAACAGCUUGGUUAUAACAAAGAAAGAUAAACAUAUGCAUCCCAAAUAUUCCAAUUAUAUGGACUUCACAAUGAAUAAUAGAUUAUAUGCAAGCGUUUGAAUGAGCAAGAACACCUAAACAAUAAAGGAAAAGGAUAUAGAAUGAACAAGGAAGAGUCAGAAUUUGAAUGAACAAGAACACCUAGGCAAUAAAGGAAAAGGACAUAGAAGAAAUAAAUAGCUGCAAUACCUUGAACCGUUGUCACCAAGACCAUGUAACCAGACUAUAGUGGCUUGAUGUUUCCCUUUAGGCCUCACCACGUAAGUCCUCCCAAACUCAAAAGUUCUUCUGGCAGUUCUACU